rnacentral:rRNA from 1 species
ACGCACGGGUGAGUAACACGUAUUCAACCUGCCGUCUACUCUUGGACAGCCUUCUGAAAGGAAGAUUAAUACAAGAUGGCAUCAUGAGUCCGCAUGUUCACAUGAUUAAAGGUAUUCCGGUAGACGAUGGGGAUGCGUUCCAUUAGAUAGUAGGCGGGGUAACAGCCCACCUAGUCUUCGAUGGAUAGGGGUUCUGAGAGGAAGGUCCCCCACAUUGGAACUGAGACACGGUCCAAACUCCUACGGGAGGCAGCAUG